AAAUUCUGAUUUCAGCUUCCCUUGUAAAAUGGCUGGCGUGCUAAAUACUGAAAUUUGGAAAAAUUGGGAAAAAUCUGGUAAACAAGAAUUUAUUAAAUUUUGUAUACCACUUUUAAAAGAUGAAUCAAAAAGCCCUUUGUUUAAUAAACAUGGUAAAACAACAAAUAUUAUUAGUUAUAUAAAUGAAUUGAUUGAUAAGGGAAUACAGGGGAUAAUAAAAACAGAUCAAGUCUCAGCAACCCUCAGGGAAUUAGUGGCUCUUCAUCCAGAUAUUCCUUCAAUUAUCCUUGAUGUAUUGAAUUUAGCAGAUGCUGUAACGUCGCAAAUAGAUCAUGAGGAAUCCAGAGAAAGAAGUAAUUUUUGUACAAUUGUUAAAGAUUGUGAAAAGUUUUUAUCUGACAAAUUACUUAAAGAGAGAUUGGAAAUAGAUACCUUACAAGAAGUAGGAGUUCUGAAGAAUGGUACAUUUUAUUCAAAAUUUAUCAAAGUUAAAACGAAAUUAUACUACAAGCAACGAAAAUUCAAUUUAUUCCGUGAAGAAUGUGAAGGGUUUUCCAAACUGGUCACAGAACUCAAUAGCGAGUUCACUGAAAAUACAAAUUCAAAAGAUUUGAUAGGUAUAGUUCAAUCUCUAAUAGGUUGUUUCAAUUUGGAUCCAAAUAGAGUUCUAGAUAUAAUAUUAGAAAGUUUUGAAAACAAACCUAAAGAUAGUAAAAUAUUCAUUCCUUUGAUUAAUUCAUAUAUGAAUGAUUCUCGAAUCAUAAGCGAAGUGUUAUCUACCAAGUUUGGAUUUUUAAGGAACAACGAACAAGAAAUUCCACAAUCUCUAUACAUUCUUACAGCUCAGUUACUACAACACAAGAUAAUUCAAUUGGAUGACAUUUAUUACUGGUUGCUUCCUGAGGAUAAAACUAUGAUUGCUGAUUCAGAAAAAAGUCUAAAAGAUGCUAAGGAGUAUGUUAGAAAACUUCAGAUUAUUAGCUUGAAUAAUAAAGAAAAAGAAGAUGCUCCUGAAGAAAAUGAUAAUGAUAGUGAUAGUUACGAAGGGAAUCAGAAAUUGGGUCUAUGUGAAGCAUUAUUAUUGAUUGGUGAUUGGGAGAAUGCACAGACUCUUAUAAAGAGAUUGCCCGAGAGAUAUUCAGUGAAUUAUGAACCAAUUGCUAGUGCAUUAUGUGGAUUAUUACAUUAUAUAAUAGAACCUUUGUACAGCGAGUAUGGUAUUGUGAGUUCAAAAAUACCAAGAACCCCACUGGCACCCUAUGAAGGUAACAUAAAACCCCCUCAAGCACAUACAUUUUUGGAACUCAAAGAUAUAGCUCUGCCAAUGUUUUUCAUGUUAGGGGCUUCAUUACGUUAUGACACCAUAUUAUUAUGUAAAGUUGUCCGGCUUGCCAAGGCAGCUUUGUCAGCUUGCGGUAUAGAUAAUCCCAAGUGUAGUGCACCCUCUGGAAAUUCUAUUUAUUAUGAUAUACUUUCAUUGAUUGAUAUCACUAUACUACCGUCAUUGUCGUACUUGGAUUGCAAUUGUUGUAUAGCUGAAGACAUUUGGACGCUUUUAAAAUUGUAUCCAUACCAGAUUAGAUACUGCUUAUACUCUAGGUGGAAGAAUGAAACAUAUUCUUUAUACCCUGAUUUGUUGAGAAAACGGGCGGAUUCAGAAAAACAAAUUAAAAAUAUCAUGAAACGAGUUAGCAAAGAAAAUGUCAAGCCUGUUGGGAGACUGAUAGGAAAAUUGACCCACUGUUCUCCUGGUUUCUUAUUUGACUAUGUGUUACUACAGAUUCAGGUUUAUAAUAAUUUGAUAGCUCCUGUAGUGGAUUCUUUGAAAUAUUUGACAAAUUUGUCAUAUGAUGUGCUAGGAUUUUGUCUCAUCGAAUCCCUGGCUAAUGCUGAAAAGAAGCGAGUUAAACAUGACAGUACUUCCAUUUCUAGCUGGUUACAGAGCUUGUCCAGUUUUUCUGGUGCUGUCUACAAGAAGUACAGUAUUGAAUUGUCUGGUUUGUUGCAGUUCGUUGCUAAUCAACUUAAAGCACAGAAAAGUUUGGAUUUACUGAUUUUAAAAGAAGUAGUUCAAAAAAUGGCUGGAGUAGAUGCAGCUGAAGAUUUGACAAUGGAUCAAUUGAACGCUCUUGCUGGUGGCGAGUUGUUGAAAUCCGAGGCUGGUUAUUUUAGUCAAAUACGUAACACAAAAAAGUCCUCUUUGAGACUAAAAGAAGCAAUGGCGGAAAAUGAUCUAGCAGUUGCUCUUUGUCUUUUAAUGGCUCAACAAAAUUAUUGCGUGGUAUAUAGAGAAACACAAAAAAAUAGCCAUUUGAAAUUGGUAGGGAAGUUAUCAGAUCAAUGUCAAGACACAUUAGUUCAAUUUGGAACAUUUUUGGGAUCAACGAUGUCUGUCGAUGAAUAUGUCAAUAAACUCCCUUCAAUUCAGAGUAUGUUAACAGAUUAUCACAUACCAUUAGAAGUAGCCUUCUUUUUAGCAAGACCAAUGUUUAAUCAUGCUAUAAAUCAAAAGUAUGAUCAAAUCAGAAAAUUAGAUCCGGGCUAUAAGAAGAUGUCUUCAUCUAUAAAAAAUCAAAAAUAUUGUGAAGCUGUAACUGAAGUAAUGGAACCGGUCUGUUCAUCUUUAACCCUUUUACACCCUCCUCGUGUGUGGGAAGACGUAUCUGCUCAAUUUUUAGCUACAUUCUGGUCUCUCACUAUGUAUGAUCUAUACAUUCCCGAAGAGGUAUACCAACAGGUUAUCAAUAAAACAAAGAUGCAAGCCCAGGCAUGUAUGGAAUCAGGAGCUAAAAGCAAGAAGGAACAGGAAAGAUAUCAAACUUUGGCCGAAAAACUCCAAGAUGAAAAGAAGAAACAAACUGAACAUGUCGAAAAAAUCUUUUACAGGCUAAAACAAGAAAAAGAUAAUUGGUUUUUGUCAAAGUCUGUUAAAACGGCAAAGAAUGAGACAAUAACAAGAUUUCUUCAACUAUGCAUUUUUCCAAGAUGCACUUUUACUCAGAUUGAUGCCGUCUAUUGUGCGAAAUUUGUACAUACCAUACAUUUACUUAAAACUCCAAAUUUUUCUACUCUACUGUUUUAUGAUAGGUUAUUCUGUGAUGUUACAUAUUCAAUAACAUCCUGCACAGAAAAUGAAGCAAUGCGAUACGGUCGUUUCCUCUUUGCGAUGCUAGAAACAGUAAUGAGGUGGCAUAGAUCUAAAGAGGUUUUUGAAAAGGAAUGUGCAAAUUAUCCUGGAUUUGUCACAAAAUACAGAAAAAAUAAUCAACAUGCCGAUAAUUUGGAUAACGUGGACUAUGAAAAUUAUCGACAUGUUUGUCAUAAAUGGCAUUACAAAUUAGCAAAAGCCAUGGUCACCUGUCUGGAAUCCAAAGAGUACGUUCAAAUUAGAAAUUCGUUGAUAAUUCUUAUUAAGAUCAUACCGCAUUUCCCAGUUUUGAUCAAGUUGAGUCAGUUUAUUGAGAAGAGGAUAGAAAAAGUCAGAGACGAGGAGAAAAACAAUCGACAAGAUUUGUUCACCUUGUCUAGUAGUUAUUUGGGCUUAUUAAAGCAGAAGAAUUCCAGCGGCCAAAUGAUGAAAGAAGCCGAUUUUCAUGUACCUCUCGACAAAGAAAAGGGAGGAAAAGGACAUGAAUCUAGAAUUGAGGGUGCCAACAAACAUAAUGGUGAAGUGAAAGAUGACUCUUCGAAGGAGAAAAAGUCUAGACAGUCAUCAGAUGAUACCAGAAGUAGUUCCAAACCUCAGAUAAUUUCUGUUGAUAUAACAGGCAGUAGUUCAAAUAACAAAACCGAAAAACAAAUAGAAGAGCAAGGAAAGGAAAAACGCAGAUCGGAAAGAAAUGAAGAAAAAGAAAGAGAAAAGGAAAAACGAAGAGAAAGAAGAGAAGAAAAAGCAAAUGCAAAAGAUGAAAAAUAUGAAAAGCAAUACAGCAGAUCUCAAGACGAAAGAUACAUUGAAAAGCUUAGUCCAAAAGAUGAAAGUAGAUACACCAAUGAGCAAAUGGAUAGAUAUUAUGAUGACCGAGGUGGAGGCCACUAUUACAGAAGUGACAUUAGGGAUGACAGGGACUUGUUAGCUAGCGGUAAUGGGAGCAUAGGAAGAAGUCAGGAGGCGGAACCCGAUAGAGAUUCAAAACGAAGAAAAGUCGACUCCUCUUCGAAGGUUAGUAUCCAGGUCAGAUAACAUCUGGGUUCCAUCCCACUAUUCAAAUUCCAUAUUGGGAGAUUGGGCUGAAAAGUGGAAAAUGUUUGUCAAUUUUGGCGUUUCAAGUGUUUCGAGACAUUUUAGUGCGCGUGUUGUGAACAUUUUUUUAAAAAGUAUUCAGCAAUUGAGGAGCACAAAAUCAAAACCUAUUUCUACGUGUUUUCUACCCUUUCAAUACCCCCAGAAGAGUAAUUUUAUGUGUGCGAAUCAAGAUUUUAUGUUUUUGAUUGAUUUUUGUUUUUGAAGAGGAAGUUUUGUUGCAAUAUUUUGACUCAAGAAGUAAAAACUAAUAGUAAAAUUAAGUUGAAAGAUAUACAAAGCAUGAAUCAAAUUUAGUAUUUCAAUGGAUUAUCUACUGGAUCGUAAGUUUAUGAAAAAUAAAGAAACAAAUGUAUGCUAAUUACCGCUUUAGUUUCUCGUAUAAUAUCCAAUAAUGGAAGAAAUUAUCUUGAUAUUAAUAAGAAAAUAAAUAAGACUGCUAAUUUUAAUUUAUAAUAUAAUAAAAUAACGAAGUGGCCCGAUGGGUUUGAUGAAAUGGCCUAUAUAAGAAACAUGUGUCUACUACCAUUUGGAUUCUGUUAAAUUUAUACUACUCGAGAAAACUAAAAGAUGCAAACUGGACCAAAAAAUGAGAUGUAUUCACAGAAAAUCUGCAGACAACUAUAAUACUCAUGGAUUUCCCGAUAAGAAUAGUUUGAAAAUAUAAUAUUGAAGAAAACUUAUAGAAGAAUAUUUAUAAUAACCUGUUGAUGUUGGUGAUUUUUUCGAUGUGCUGUAGAAGCUUAUGAAACCCGAAACUUGAAUUGUAACACGAUAUGGAGACUUAUUUUGAUUACCUAAGCCCAAUCUUCCCUAGUUAGUAUUUGGAACAAGGACAUUGCAGAAUUCCAAACAUGAGGAGAGGAAAUCAAAUUCAGAUUUAUUUCCCGAAAA